UCAUUUUAGAGGAAGUAAAAGUCGUAACAAGGUCUCCGUUGGUGAACCAGCGGAGGGAUCAUUACUGAGUUUACGCUCUACAACCCUUUGUGAACAUACCUACAACUGUUGCUUCGGCGGGUAGGGUCUCCGCGACCCUCCCGGCCUCCCGCCUCCGGGCGGGUCGGCGCCCGCCGGAGGAUAACCAAACUCUGAUUUAACGACGUUUCUUCUGAGUGGUACAAGCAAAUAAUCAAAACUUUUAACAACGGAUCUCUUGGUUCUGGCAUCGAUGAAGAACGCAGCGAAAUGCGAUAAGUAAUGUGAAUUGCAGAAUUCAGUGAAUCAUCGAAUCUUUGAACGCACAUUGCGCCCGCCAGCAUUCUGGCGGGCAUGCCUGUUCGAGCGUCAUUUCAACCCUCAAGCUCUGCUUGGUGUUGGGGCCCUACAGCCGAUGUAGGCCCUCAAAGGUAGUGGCGGACCCUCCCGGAGCCUCCUUUGCGUAGUAACUUUACGUCUCGCACUGGGAUCCGGAGGGACUCUUGCCGUAAAACCCCCCAAUUUUCCAAAGGUUGACCUCGGAUCAGGUAGGAAUACCCGCUGAACUUAAGCAUA
rnacentral:rRNA from 1 species